rnacentral:rRNA from 1 species
AGCUUGCUCCCGGAUGUUAGCGGCGGACGGGUGAGUAACACGUGGGUAACCUGCCUGUAAGACUGGGAUAACUCCGGGAAACCGGAGCUAAUACCGGAUAGUUCCUUGAACCGCAUGGUUCAAGGAUGAAAGACGGUUUCGGCUGUCACUUACAGAUGGACCCGCGGCGCAUUAGCUAGUUGGUGGGGUAAUGGCUCACCAAGGCGACGAUGCGUAGCCCACCUGAGAGGGUGAUCGGCCACACUGGGACUGAGACACGGCCCAGACUCCUACGGGAGGCAGCAGUAGGGAAUCUUCCGCAAUGGACGAAAGUCUGACGGAGCAACGCCGCGUGAGUGAUGAAGGUUUUCGGAUCGUAAAGCUCUGUUGUUAGGGAAAAACAAGUGCGAGAGUAACUGCUCGCACCUUGACGGUACCUAACCAGAAAGCCACGGCUAACUACGUGCCAGCAGCCGCGGUAAUACGUAGGUGGCAAGCGUUGUCCGGAAUUAUUGGGCGUAAAGGGCUCGCAGGCGGUUUCUUAAGUCUGAUGUGAAAGCCCCCGGCUCAACCGGGGAGGGUCAUUGGAAACUGGGAAACUUGAGUGCAGAAGA